rnacentral:rRNA from 4 species
GGGUUGUGAGGUUAAGCGACUAAGCGUACACGGUGGAUGCCCUGGCAGUCAGAGGCGAUGAAGGACGUGCUAAUCUGCGAUAAGCGCCGGUAAGGUGAUAUGAACCGUUAUAACCGGCGAUUUCCGAAUGGGGAAACCCAGUGUGACUCGUCACACUAUCAUUAACUGAAUCCAUAGGUUAAUGAGGCGAACCGGGGGAACUGAAACAUCUAAGUACCCCGAGGAAAAGAAAUCAACCGAGAUUCCCCCAGUAGCGGCGAGCGAACGGGGAGGAGCCCAGAGCCUGAAUCAGCAUGUGUGUUAGUGGAAGCGUCUGGAAAGGCGCGCGAUACAGGGUGACAGCCCCGUACACAAAAGCGCAUAUGCUGUGAGCUCGAUGAGUAGGGCGGGACACGUGGUAUCCUGUCUGAAUAUGGGGGGACCAUCCUCCAAGGCUAAAUACUCCUGACUGACCGAUAGUGAACCAGUACCGUGAGGGAAAGGCGAAAAGAACCCCGGCGAGGGGAGUGAAAAAGAACCUGAAACCGUGUACGUACAAGCAGUGGGAGCCCCACCACUAAGCCAGUGGUGAACUCCACAUACGCAUCCUUUGCUGAGGAUACGGUUAACGGAGCGAAAGCGACGUUCAACCGCAAAAGAAGCAGAGGGGGCUUAGUGGUGG